rnacentral:lncRNA from 1 species
ACUCAUUAAGGAACCACAUUAAUCCGUCGCCUCAUGUCAUUUUUAUCUUUAUCUGACUAUUAUAAUCAUUUCCUUUAGAAUAUAAAAUACUUUUGAAUUUUAGUAUUAAAAAACACCCUACAAAUGGCAGCAGAUCAGGGUUUCCAACGAAAUAUUAUUAGAGAGCUCUUUACUGAAGUUUCAUCUGUAUUUCAGUCCCUACAAAUGGUAGCAGAUCAGAAUUCCCAACGAAAUAUCAUUAGGG